AGAGAGAGAGAGAGAGACAAAGAGAGAGAGAGAGAGAGAGAGAGAGAUAAGGGGGUGAUCAUCGUCGAUCUAGUUUGUCUGGUUUUGGUUUUUUUUUUUUGUUUUGCUUGUUUUGGUGCGGUGUUAUUAAAAAAUAUGACGAGAUCCGUGUAACGGUGCGUUAUUCCACGAAAAUGUCAUCGUGAAAAUAAUUCGUUGACAUUUGAUUUCUACGUAAAAGAAAAAAAAAGGAAAUAAAAAAGUGAUAUUUCGGACAGUGAAAUAAUUAAUUAUUCUCGUGACUUUUGAAAUUAAAUUUGUUGAUAUAGUUUAAAUUAUAAUAAUCGUUUAGUUGCUUACGAGUGGCCUUAAAAAUUCGUAACGUGUGAGAAAAACGAUUGGGCAAAAAGAAAUAAAAAAAAAAGAAGAGAAAUACUAAGAAAAUAAACACGCGUUGUUUCGCGCGUCGAGGAACAAACAAAAAAAAAUGUCCUCUCGUUGUUUUCUACGCUAAAACGUGUGUUAACUCGUACUCGGAAAGUGAACUUCUCGUCCAAUCGGACGGAUAAAAGAUCAAAUCAAAAUAUAAUCAAAAAAAACGUUCACGAUAAAUCCAGUGACAUCAUCAUUCCGUCGUCUUCUUCUUCGGAUUUGUCAGAUUUAACACGGCGAUGGAUUCGCAGCAGCUCGUUGAAACGAGCUCGCAAAACAGUCAGGACCUUGUCCUGCCAAAACCAACCAGCAGCACCCCACGACACAGCAUCGAUGCCAUACUUGGCCUGGCUAAUCACAAAAGGAAUCAUCAAGAGAUGGAAGACAAUAAUCGCGAGACUCAGGAGAACGCUGGUGAGAACAGCUGCAACUCAACCGGCGGUGGUAGCGACGAAGAACUUGGUGCGGGUUGCGGGGACGAUAUUAACGGGAACGGAGGAAAGAAGAAGCAUCGUCGUAACAGAACGACCUUCACCACUUACCAGCUGCACGAACUUGAGAGAGCAUUUGAAAAAUCACAUUACCCUGACGUCUACUCCAGGGAAGAACUUGCCAUGAAGGUCAACCUUCCCGAAGUUCGUGUCCAGGUGUGGUUUCAAAAUAGACGAGCCAAAUGGCGUAGGCAAGAAAAAAUGGAAGCUGCCAGACUUGGUCUAAGCGAAUAUCAUCAUGCCGCUAACAUGAGAAACGUCGGUGGAACGACUCUUGGAUUACCUGGAGAUCCUUGGCUCGCACCGCCAGGACUUUUGAGCGCACUUCCAGGAUUCCUGGCAGCACCGCACACAGGAUAUCCAAGUUAUUUAACCUCCCCGAGACGAUUGCCCUCUCCUCCGAACGUUGCUGCUGUGGCUAAUGCGGUCCCAGGUACGUCGAACCUAUCGAGACACUUGCUAUCGAGUCCAAGCAAAUUCGUCUCCAUCGGAUUUCGAUUGGAACAAUUUUAAACGAAAGAUUAUACCAAUAUCUUUCCUCCUCAUAUAUUCAAUAUCUAAUAUAAAAACCAAAGAACGAAUAAAGAUACAUCUUUCGACUGGACUGAUUGAUCUUUCAACUUCUAAAUAACUCGGAACAUUGGGAGGUGGAAUGGCAAGCAUAGGAGGUGGUAGUCACGUCCAACCACCACCUCCGAGUCCUCCAGGUCACGAUCCCCG
rnacentral:misc_RNA from 1 species